AAUUAAUGAGCUUGAAUAAGCAUAUGCUUUGAAAGCAUAAUAUAAUAGUAAUAAUCUAUUAUUAAUUU
rnacentral:tRNA from 1 species